AGAGUUUGAUCCUGGCUCAGAUUGAACGCUGGCGGCAUGCUUUACACAUGCAAGUCGAACGGUAACAGGGAGCUUGCUCCGCUGACGAGUGGCGAACGGGUGAGUAAUGCGUCGGAACGUGCCGAGUAGUGGGGGAUAACGCAUCGAAAGGUGUGCUAAUACCGCAUACGAACUGAGGUUGAAAGUGGGGGACCUUCGGGCCUCACGCUAUUCGAGCGGCCGACGUCUGAUUAGCUAGUUGGUGAGGUAAAGGCUCACCAAGGCGACGAUCAGUAGCGGGUCUGAGAGGAUGAUCCGCCACACUGGGACUGAGACACGGCCCAGACUCCUACGGGAGGCAGCAGUGGGGAAUUUUGGACAAUGGGCGCAAGCCUGAUCCAGCCAUGCCGCGUGUCUGAAGAAGGCCUUCGGGUUGUAAAGGACUUUUGUCCGGGAGCAAAUGCCUGGUGUUAAUAGCAUCGGGAGCUGAGAGUACCGGAAGAAUAAGCACCGGCUAACUACGUGCCAGCAGCCGCGGUAAUACGUAGGGUGCAAGCGUUAAUCGGAAUUACUGGGCGUAAAGCGUGCGCAGGCGGUUUUGUAAGCCAGAUGUGAAAGCCCCGGGCUCAACCUGGGAACUGCGUUUGGAACUACAAGACUAGAGUGUGUC
rnacentral:rRNA from 1 species